UUUACAGCCUGUGGCAUGAUUUUGGAGGACAGUUUUUCUUGCUUCACACAGGAGCCAAGAUUUUCUAGAAGAUCCCACGAAAGGAUCAAGAAAAUAGAGGAACAACCCUCUCAGCUUUGGUGUAUUCCCAAACAAAAUCUGCUGCUGUUUCUCCCCAGCCAUGCUGUCGCCCCCUGCUCAGGACUUGUGAUCUUGUUGAUGUUGAGAGGGACUGAUGGAGACUCGGUGACCCAGAGAGAAGGCCCUGUUAUCCUGCCCGAGGGGGCACCUCUGACCCUGAACUGCACCUACCAGAGCAUCUAUUCAGUUUUCCUUUUCUGGUAUGUCCAGUAUCAAAACAAAGAGCCUGAGCUCCUCCUGAAAAGCUCAUCAGAAAACCAGGAGGAGGACAGCAGAGGUUUUCAGGCCAAGUUUGUUAAGAGUGACAGCUCCUUCCACCUGCAGAAAGCCUCAGUGCAAGUGUCAGACUCGGCCGUGUACUACUGCGCUCUGAGAGACACAGUGAGGGGGACUCAGGGGGAGCUGAGCACAAACCCAGAGGGUGCAGGUGGGCCUGGCUGUGGCAGCCCUGGGAGGGGUGUUCCCUUCUCUCCAGUGUCGUGUGCUGGAGGCUUCCUCACAGUACUUCCAGCUCUGAUGCCUCAGAGCCAAGGAGCCUUGGAAUUCUUGGAUGAGUCUGCAGAGAGGAAUUAG